CGUGGCAGAUUAGUGCAGUAAACUUAAAAUUUUCUCAUAAA
rnacentral:tRNA from 2 species